AUUGAACGCUGGCGGCAGGCUUAACACAUGCAAGUCGAACGAGAGGCGGACGGGUGAGUAAUGUCUGGGAAACUGCCUGAUGGAGGGGGAUAACUACUGGAAACGGUAGCUAAUACCGCAUACCAUGAGAUGUGCCCAGAUGGGAUUAGCUAGUUGGUGGGGUAAUGGCUGACCAAGGCGACGAUCCCUGGAUGGGCUGAGAGGAUGACCAGCCACACGGGAACGGAGACACGGUCCAGCCCCCACCGUGAGGCAGCAGUGGGGAAUAUUGCACAAUGGGCUCAAGCCUGAUGCAGCCAUGCCGCGUGGAUGAAGAAGGCCUGCGGGUUGUAAAGUACUUUCAGCGGGGAGGCGUUACCCGCAGAAGAAGCACCGGCUAACUCCGUGCCAGCAGCCGCGGUAAUUC
rnacentral:rRNA from 1 species